rnacentral:rRNA from 1 species
CGGCGCCACAAGUGGCAAUCGCGAUUAUUGGGCCUAAAGCGUCCGUAGCAUGUCAAGUAAAUCUUUUGUGAAAUCGUCUCGCUUAACGUGACGGAUGGCAGGAGACACUGCUUUGUCUAGGGACCGGGAGGGGUUAGAGGUAUUCACGGGGGAGCGGUAAAAUGUGAUAAUCCCGUGAGGACCACCGGUGGCGAAGGCAUCUAACCAGAACGGAUCCGACUGUGAGGGACGAAAGCCAGGGGAGCAAACCGGAUUAGAUACCCGAGUAGUCC